GAUGAACGCUGGCGGCGUGCCUAAUACAUGCAAGUCGAGCGAACAGACGAGGAGCUUGCUCCUCUGACGUUAGCGGCGGACGGGUGAGUAACACGUGGAUAACCUACCUAUAAGACUGGGAUAACUUCGGGAAACCGGAGCUAAUGCCGGAUAAUAUAUUGAACCGCAUGGUUCAAUAGUGAAAGACGGUUUUGCUGUCACUUAUAGAUGGAUCCGCGCCGCAUUAGCUAGUUGGUAAGGUAACGACUUACCAAGGCAACGAUGAGUAGCCGACCUGAGAGGGUGAUCGGCCACACUGGAACUGAGACACGGUCCAGACUCCUACGGGAGGCAGCAGUAGGGAAUCUUCCGCAAUGGGCGAAAGCCUGACGGAGCAACGCCGCGUGAGUGAUGAAGGUCUUCGGAUCGUAAAACUCUGUUAUUAGGGAAGAACAAAUGUGUAAGUAACUAUGCACGUCUUGACGGUACCUAAUCAGAAAGCCACGGCUAACUACGUG
rnacentral:rRNA from 1 species